rnacentral:rRNA from 1 species
UACGUAGGGGGCGAGCGUUAUCCGGAUUCACUGGGUGUAAGGGGAGCGUAGACGGUCCUGCAAGCCAGAUGUGAAAGUCCGGGGCUCAACCCCGGGACUGCAUUUGGAACUGUAAGGCUAGAGUGUCGGAGAGGCAGGCGGAAUUCCUAGUGUAGCGGUGAAAUGCGUAGAUAUUAGGAGGAACACCAGUGGCGAAGGCGGCCUGCUGGACGAUGACUGACGUUGAGGCUCGAAAGCGUGGGGAGCAAACAGG